UACGGAGGGAGCUAGCGUUGUUCGGAAUUACUGGGCGUAAAGCGCACGUAGGCGGCUUUUUAAGUCAGGGGUGAAAUCCCGGGGCUCAACCCCGGAACUGCCUUUGAAACUAGAUAGCUAGAAUCUUGGAGAGGUGAGUGGAAUUCCGAGUGUAGAGGUGAAAUUCGUAGAUAUUCGGAAGAACACCAGUGGCGAAGGCGACUCACUGGACAAGUAUUGACGCUGAGGUGCGAAAGCGUGGGGAGCAAACAGG
rnacentral:rRNA from 1 species